GGGACACGUGGUAUCCUGUCUGAAUAUGGGGGGACCAUCCUCCAAGGCUAAAUACUCCUGACUGACCGAUAGUGAACCAGUACCGUGAGGGAAAGGCGAAAAGAACCCCGGCGAGGGGAGUGAAAAAGAACCUGAAACCGUGUACGUACAAGCAGUGGGAGCCUCUUAAUGGGGUGACUGCGUACCUUUUGUAUAAUGGGUCAGCGACUUAUAUUCUGUAGCAAGGUUAACCGAAUAGGGGAGCCGAAGGGAAACCGAGUCUUAACUGGGCGUUAAGUUGCAGGGUAUAGACCCGAAACCCGGUGAUCUAGCCAUGGGCAGGUUGAAGGUUGGGUAACACUAACUGGAGGACCGAACCGACUAAUGUUGAAAAAUUAGCGGAUGACUUGUGGCUGGGGGUGAAAGGCCAAUCAAACCGGGAGAUAGCUGGUUCUCCCCGAAAGCUAUUUAGGUAGCGCCUCGUGAAUUCAUCUCCGGGGGUAGAGCACUGUUUCGGCAAGGGGGUCAUCCCGACUUACCAACCCGAUGCAAACUGCGAAUACCGGAGAAUGUUAUCACGGGAGACACACGGCGGGUGCUAACGUC
rnacentral:rRNA from 1 species